rnacentral:rRNA from 1 species
GGGGAAUAUUGGACAAUGGGCGCAAGCCUGAUCCAGCCAUGCCGCGUGAGUGAUGAAGGCCCUAGGGUUGUAAAGCUCUUUCAGCGAGGAGGAUAAUGACGUUACUCGCAGAAGAAGCCCCGGCUAACUUCGUGCCAGCAGCCGCGGUAAUACGAAGGGGGCUAGCGUUGUUCGGAGUCACUGGGCGUAAAGCGCACGUAGGCGGACUUUUAAGUCAGGGGUGAAAUCCCGGGGCUCAACCUCGGAACUGCCUUUGAUACUGGAAGUCUUGAGGCCGAGAGAGGUGAGUGGAAUUCCGAGUGUAGAGGUGAAAUUCGUAGAUAUUCGGAAGAACACCAGUGGCGAAGGCGGCUCACUGGCUCGGUACUGACGCUGAGGUGCGAAAGCGUGGGGAGCAAAC